UACGUAGGGGGCAAGCGUUGUCCGGAUUUAUUGGGCGUAAAGCGCUCGCAGGUGGCCCGUCGCGUCGUGCGUGAAAGGCCCCGGCUCAACCGGGGAGGGUCGUGCGAUACGGGCGGCUGGAGGCCAGUAGGGGGAUGCGGAAUUCCGGGUGUAGUGGUGGAAUGCGUAGAUAUCAGGAGGAACACCUGUGGUGUAGACAGCUUACUGGACCACUUCUGACGCUGAGACACGAAAGCGUGGGGAGCGAACAGG
rnacentral:rRNA from 1 species